UGAAAUUGGGUUGUAUCCAAA
ensembl:piRNA 21ur-1772 ncRNA